AUUGAACGCUGGCGGCAGGCCUAACACAUGCAAGUCGAGCGGAUGACGGGAGCUUGCUCCUUGAUUCAGCGGCGGACGGGUGAGUAAUACCUAGGAAUCUGCCUGAUAGUGGGGGACAACGUUUCGAAAGGAACGCUAAUACCGCAUACGUCCUACGGGAGAAAGCAGGGGACCUGCGGGCCUUGCGCUAUCAGAUGACCCUAGGUCGGAUUAGCUAGUUGGUGAGGUAAUGGCUCACGAAGGCGACGAUCCGUAACUGGUCUGAGAGGAUGAUCAGUCACACUGGAACUGAGACACGGUACAGACUCCUACGGGAGGCAGCAGUGGGGAAUAUUGGACAAUGGGCGAAAGCCUGAUCCAGCCAUGCCGCGUGUGUGAAGAAGGUCUUCGGAUUGUAAAGCACUUUAAGUUGGGAGGAAGGGCAGUAAGCUAAUACCUUGCUGUUUUGACGUUACCGACAGAAUAAGCACCGGCUAACUCUGUGCCAGCCGCCGCGGUAAAAC
rnacentral:rRNA from 1 species